GGUUCCUGAGAUACAUGAAGAUAACAGAUACUUUUACCAAAGACUUUUAAAUCUUUUUUCAGGAAGACAAGUGUUUCCUCUUGUUUAUGAAAGCAGCUCAGUUGGUUAAGGGGCAGACAACUUGUGAGCAUGGUACAUCACUACCUGUAUUGGUAUUCAAUUUUGACAAUGCUGCUAGCUAAAAUUGAAAUAACAUCUUGCUGUGGUAUGGUCUGUGGAGAGUUUUACUAGGAUAUCACAGAUGGAUUUAUAUUCAGCAAUGAUCACAGACCAUGCAAAGUUUGAAUCUGACUUGCACUUUCGAAGUUAGAAGAAUCUGUGCAGGAGGGUGAAUGCUGAGACCUUUAAUAAUACAUGAUAUUGCUGACACAGUGUGUCAGUCAUCAAAGAAAGGUCAUAACAUUGCACAGUUGGUCAACAAUGAUUUAAAUCCCGUCACAUUCUGCCAGUGGAGAAAUAUCUUAUCACAAUAUUUUAAACUUUUGAAGAAGAUAACCAAGUAUUACCACUUUAUCAUGUCUGCAGAAACACCUGGAUUGUUAGUGUUAAAAGUGACAGUCCAGUUUUGACAGUUAACUUACUAAAAUCUACUCCCCUUGCCAGACGAAUAUUAUUGACACGGAAUGACACAAGCCUGACAAUGGUACCUGUAUGAACUCCUAAGAGGGUAGUAUUCAUCUGAAAAGUCAAAGGGUUCUGUUUGUCCCAGACCACUUUAACUGAAAACUGAAAUUGUGAUUGACGAGGAUUUUUCCGAGAACUGAAAAAAAGGAAGUGAAUAUAAAAGAUAAAAAUUGUUGUUGAAUUUAAACGUUUUAAUGCUUCAGCCUGUUUUGCUGUUCAUAUAGAUGUGUUUAGCUGUUAAGGUUAAACAUCAAGUAAAGGUUGUAGUUUCAGUUACCUACAUUAAAGUAUUGGCUGGAAAUAAAUAUUUACUUUUCA